rnacentral:rRNA from 1 species
AACGCGAAGAACCUUACCUGGAUUUGACAUCUCCUGACAACCGUAGAGAUACGGCUUCUGUAGCAAUACAGCAGGAAGACAGGUGCUGCAUGGCUGUCGUCAGCUCGUGUGGUGACAUGUUGGGUUAAGUCCCGCAACGAGCGCAACCCUUGUCCUUAGUUGCCAUCAUUCAGUUGGGCUCUCUAAGGAGACUGCCGUGGUUAACACGGAGGAAGGUGGGGAUGACGUCAAGUCCUCAUGGCCUUUAUAUCCAGGGCGACACACGUGAUACAAUGGACGGUACAGAGGGAAGCGAAGGGGCGACCUGGAGCCAAUCUCAAAAAGCCGUUCUCAGUUCGGAUUGGAGUCUGCAACUCGACUCCAUGAAGUUGGAAUCGCUAGUAAUCGCGGAUCAGCACGCCGCGGUGAAUACGUUCCCGGGCCUUGUACACACCGGCUAC